rnacentral:tRNA from 1 species
GGGCCCGUAGUCUAGUUGGUUAUGACACCUCCUUGACAUGGAGGAGGUCACCUGUUCGAAUCAGGUCGGGCCCA